rnacentral:rRNA from 1 species
GACGAACGCUGACGGUGUGCUUUAGACAUGCAAGUCGAACGAGAAAGCCCUUCGGGUGAGUACAGUGGCGAACGGGUGAGUAACACGUGGGCAAUCUGCCCCUCGCAGGGGGACAACCGUGGGAAACCGCGGCUAAUACCCCGUAAGCUCGAAAGGCCGCAUGGUUUUUCGAGGAAAGUAGCUUCGGCCGAUCCGGCGAGGGAUGAGCCCGCGGUGCAUUAGCUAGUUGGUGGGGUAACGGCCCACCAAGGCGACGAUGCAUAGCUGGUCUGAGAGGAUGAUCAGCCACACUGGGACUGAGACACGGCCCAGACUCCUACGGGAGGCAGCAGUCGGGAAUCUUGCGCAAUGGGCGAAAGCCUGA